rnacentral:rRNA from 1 species
CCUACGGGAGGCAGCAGUGGGGAAUAUUGGACAAUGGGGGCAACCCUGAUCCAGCCAUGCCGCGUGUGUGAAGAAGGCCCUCGGGUUGUAAAGCACUUUCAGUGAGGAAGAACGCCUGGUGGUUAAUACCCAUCAGGAAAGACAUCACUCACAGAAGAAGCACCGGCUAACUCCGUGCCAGCAGCCGCGGUAAUACGGAGGGUGCGAGCGUUAAUCGGAAUUACUGGGCGUAAAGCGCGCGUAGGUGGCUUGAUAAGCCGGUUGUGAAAGCCCCGGGCUCAACCUGGGAACGGCAUCCGGAACUGUCAAGCUAGAGUGCAGGAGAGGAAGGUAGAAUUCCCGGUGUAGCGGUGAAAUGCGUAGAGAUCUGGAGGAAUACCAGUGGCGAAGGCGGCCUUCUGGACUGACACUGACACUGAGGUGCGAAAGCGUGGGUAGCAAACAGGAUUAGAUACCCCUGUAGUC